rnacentral:lncRNA from 1 species
CUUCUGACUCUAUGGAUUUACUUAUUCUGGGUAUUCUGGGGUAGAGAAAAGAGGAAAAACCUAGUCGCCUGGGGUCUGUACGUCAAAAGCGGAUUCUCUGAGGGCCUAUGGUCGAGGGAGCACUGGGCCAGGAGUCUCGAGGCCUGUGUGUGCAUGCUCAGUCAUGUCCGACUCUUUGUGACCCCAUGGACUGCAGCCCGCCAGGCUCCUCUGUCCCUGGAAAAUCCAGGCAAGAAUACUGGCGUGGGUUGCCAUUUCCUCCUCCAGGGGAUCGUCCUGAACCAGGGACUGAACCCACAUCGCCUUGUGUCCUGCAUUGGCAGGCAGAUUCUUUACCACUGAGCCACCUGGGAAACCCCCCGAGGUCUGUGAUAGAUCCCAGUUCUGCUCCUAAUUCAGGGGCCUCCCCUCCCCUGUUCACCGGCCUGGGGGACUUCAGGCCAGUCUAGUAUCCUCAGCCUUCAGAUCAUACCCUUGUCUGGAGGCUUCUGUCUGGGAUUGUGGAGCCUGACCUGAAAAAUAUUCCUCUUUGAUCCUCUUGGCUCCUUCCUGCCAGGCCCAGGCAGUGAAGAUGGCCCCAGGGGACGGUGUAAUACCGCAGUUUGGGGUCAGAGGCAUGAGAUGAGGAAACUUCAGCUCUGAGAGGUUGAGAAACUUGCCCAAGGCCACAUAACUCCUGCUGCACUGGAGUGGCAGCUGGUUCAGUCUGAUUGUGUUCUGGAACUCUUGACCACAGUGUCCUCCUGUCUUCAAAGAGAUAAAGUAAGUUAAGGGCUUAGCGAAAUGCCAGCUGUGUGGGAGGUGCUCUUAAAUGGAAGCAGCUACAAAUUUUACUACAUUCUGGAACACUGUGUAAUCCUGAAGUGAAUAGCUCCAGUCCAAGGUGAUUCUUGGUAAAUUCUUGGUAAAAAACAAUCCACCUGCAAUGCAGGAGACCCUGAUUCGGUCCCUGGGUGGGAAAGAUCCCCUGGAGGAGGAAAUGGCAACCUACUCCAGUAUUCUUGCCUGGGAAAUCCCAUGGACAAAGGAGCCUGGCAGGCUACAGUCCAUGGUAUCACCAAGAGUCAGACAUGCUGCUGCUGCUGCUGCUGCUAAGUCGCUUCAGUCGUGUCCGACUCUGUGCGACCCGAUAGACGGCAGCCUGCUAGACUUAGCCACUAAACCACAUAAACCAAGGUGGUUCUUGGGAGUUCCUCUCUCCCCACUUGCCUCAUCUUUGUCCUCCACUGGCCUCCCUAGGAUGACAGCUCCUGUAAGGACCAAGGGGUUGCCUGGACCCCAAGUCUUUAAGACAGGAACCCUUCCAAGAUGGAAACGCCCAGAUCAGCCCUCUGGAUGCCUGCUGUCUCCUUCCUCAGGAUGACCAGGUAGGGCCCCCUCCCCUGCUCUGUCCCUAACCGAGUC